rnacentral:lncRNA from 1 species
CCUUCUUUUAUUUAUUUUCACUCUCUGAUUGUUGUUCCUUACCUUUUCCCUCACUUUUUUUUCUCUCCAUUUUUUUUAUUCUUUCACCAUUGUUGUCGCCACUCACUACAUCUCUUUGCUCACUUUUUUUUCUUUUUUGUUGUGCCGCUUAUUGCUCUUCCAUUUUUACCAUUAUUGUCACCUUUUUUUUAAUUAUUUUUCCCAAUUUUAGCCGCCUGUUUACUACUGUUUUCCAACCUUUUGCUGCUAUUUUUCUUCAGCCAUUUUGUUGCUACGAUUUUCUUCUCUUUGUCGCCCAUUGUAGCCUUUUCCACUCUCUUUUUGUUGUUAAUUUUUUUCAUUGUUGUUUUCUUCCCUUAUUUUUUUGGUUGUUAAAAUGAACCCCUAAUCUUGUCGUUUAAGUGUGCAUCUGAUCUCAUCUAGUUUUCUAUCUUGGAUCUAGAAUUUGGAAGAGCAUAAGUGUUGAUUUUUGUCAAGAUCUUGUGUUGUAUUUUCCUUUGAUAUUUCUUUGUUUUGGCUGAAUGUAUCUAAGGCCAUACGAUUUUUUUUCCUUUGCUAGUUUUUGAUGCUAUUAUGUCUUAGGAACCAAUUUAAACACCCCAAAUCAACAUUGACAACAGAAUUAGUUCCCAUCUUCGUUUUAUAACAAAUUAAUGUAAGUAUUCUUCACCAAAGUUGGAUCUGAAAUAUCGCUUGUGAAUCGUUGUUUGAUUGAACCCUAUAGGGUGUUCUAAGGCUGAUUUUAAAUGCGUUUAAUCAUAUUAAGUGCAUAUCUAAUCUAGAGUAAUCUAGAUCUCUAGUGGCGUAGUGUGAACUUUUUUUAUUAGUGUUACGAAUUUGUGAUAUUAAGGCGUGGAACUUAAUUAUUUGUAAAUUGUGUAUGUAUGACUUAAAUAAUGUUAUUUGUGUAUGUUUUAACCAUGAUGCUUGUGGUAGUCGAAAACAUGAUGGCUAUUUUGGGGCAUAGCCAAAUGUAAAGGUGGUUGUCUAAUUAGCCGAUUGUGAAAUGUUGGCUGUGUUUACUUAUAUGCCACUGUUCUCAAUUAUUGAUCGCAUGAUAUGACUUGCUUCUAUACUGCACCGUAUUUGAUUUUUUCCAUUUUGAUAGGAAUGACAUUAUGCAUUGCAUCAGGAUUGGGUUGAUUCGAGACAAAGCAGACUUGUAGAGUUCUAGCGGUAUAUUCACGAUUUAUUGGAGUUUUGGCAGUAAAUCUGCAAAUUUGGAGUUUUGUUCAAAUUUCUGGCAGUUUGUCCACAUAUUGUUCUAGCGAUUCAUCUACAACACUGUUCUGGUGGUUUAAUCACAAAAUUUGACUGGCAGUAUAACAGUAAUUGUUUUCCGUUACUAGUGGUUUAACCACAAUGAGCUAAGGCUCCUUCUGACAUGAUGUGUAUGGUUGGAUAUGGUGUGUAGUGGAUGGAUGUUUAGGAAAAUUACAUUGAAAUUCUUGUACAAUUAUGGGAUAUGGUAUACUCUGAUAAUAAGGUAAUUGGUGAUAUUUUUGUUUCUAAUAUUUCUGUGUUCAUAAAUGAUCUUUGGUACACUGUUUAGUUUUGAUUGAA